UCUGAUUAGGGCUCUUAAUCUUUUAACCAAACAGAUCCAUCGAUAAAGAACUAGGUCUUUACCAAUAUUGGAUAAAAAAAAAUCAAAGAUCAACUGAUAAGGAACGAAGGUCCUUGACAGUAUAUGAUCUGUAGAAUAAGAAAUCACUCCUUCUCUCAGCAUGAUAGAUAAAAAUUCUGGAGGAGACAAAUCUUCUCUUAGUGGAAUAGACUUGCGUGGGUAGAUGGUGGAGUCUAAUCAGAGUCACAGGAAUACUGGAUCUUUAGUAGAAAGAGUAGGAUAGAAAGUGGGCCUCACACCCUCCCUUUGUGGGGCGAUUUUGGAUCUCACACCCUCUCCCUCUCAAAGCGAUUGACACA
rnacentral:lncRNA from 1 species